AGGAUAAAAUAGGUAUAAGUGUUGUCUAAACACUUCUAAACCAUCUCUAACUCUUAUAAUUAGUCGAAUGCAUUGGAUUGUGAUACCUUUUGACCAUAAAAACACUAACAAAGUUAUUUACUGCUUCUAAGCAAUAUUUUGUUGGUUAUAGCUUCUUUUGUGAGUAAAUGGGUAUAAGUGUUGUCUAAACACUCCUAAUCCAUCGCUAGCUCUUAUAAUUAGUCAAAUGCAUUAGAUUGUGACACAUUUUGACCAUAGAAACACUAACAAAUCUAUUGAGUUGUUCUAAGCAAGUUUUGUUGGUUUUAACCUCUUCUAGGAGGAAAUGGGUAUAAGUGUUGUCUAAACACUUCUUAUCCAUCUCUAACUCUUACAAUUAGUCAAUUGCAUUGGAUUGUGACACAUUUUGACUAUAGAAACACUAACAAAUCUACUGACUGCUUCUAAGCAAGUUUUGUUGGUUUUAGCCUCUUUUGGAGAAAAUGGGUAUAAGUGUUAUCUAAACACUCCUAAUCCAUCUCUAACUCUAUUAUUAGUCAAAUGCAUUGGAUUGUGAAACAUUUUGACCAUGAAAACACUAAUAAAGCUAUUUACUGCGUCUAAGCAAAUGUUUGUUGGUUAUAGCUUCUUUUGGGAGAAAAUGGGUGUAAGUGUUCUCUAAACACUCCUAAUCCAUCUCUUACUCUUAUAAUUAGUCAAAUGCAUUGGAUUGUGAAACAUUUUGACCAUAGAAACACUAACAAAUCUAUUGACCGCUUCUAAGCAAGUUUUGUUGGUUUUAGCCUCUUUUGGGAGGAAAUGGGUUAUAAGUGUUAUCUAAACACUUCUUGUCCAUCCCUAACUCUUAUAAUUAAUCAAUUGCAAAUUUUUGUUGGUUUUAGCCUCUUUUGGGAGAAAAUGGGUAUAAUUGUUGUCUAAACACUCCUAAUCCAUCUCUAACUCUAUAAUUAGUCCAAUGCAUUGGAUUGUGAAACAUUUUGACCAUAGAAACACUAACAAAUCUAUUGACUGAUUCUAAGCAAAUGUUUGUUGGUUUUAGCCUCGUUUGGGAUAAAAUGGGUAUAAGUGUUGUCUAAACACUCCAAAUCCAUCUCUAACUCUUAUAAUUAGUCGAAUGCAUUAGAUUGUGAUACCUUUUGACCAUAUAAACACUAAGAAAGCUAUUUACUGCUUCUUAGCAAUAUUUUGUUGGUUUUAGACUCUUUUGAGAUAAAAUUGGUAUAAGUGUUGUCUAAACACUCCUAAUCCAUCUCUAACUAUUAUAAUUAGUCGAAUGCAUUGGAUUGUGAUACCUUUUGACCAUAUAAACACUAAGAAAGCUAUUUACUGCUUCUUAGCAAUAUUUUGUUGGUUAUAGCUUCUUUUGGGAGAAAAUGGGUAUAAGUGUUCUCUAAACACUCCUAAUCCAUCUCUAACUCUUAUAAUUAGGCAAAUGCAUUGGAUUGUGACACAUUUUAACUAUAGAAACUCUAACCAAUUUAUUGACUGCUUCUAAGCAAGUUUUGUUGGUUUUAGACUCUUUUGGGAGAAAAUGGGUAUAAGUGUUGUCUAAACACUCCGAAUUCAUCUAUAACUCUUAUAAUUAGUUAUAUGCUUUGGAUUGUGAAACAUUUUGACCAUAGAAACACUAACAAAGCUAUAUACUGCGUCUAAGAAAAUGUUUGUUGGUUUUAGCCUCUUUUGAGAUAAAAUGGGUGUAAGUGUUGUCUAAACACUCCUAAUCCAUCUCUAACUAUUAUAAUUAGUCGAAUGCAUUGGAUUGUGAUACCUUUUGACCAUAUAAACACUAACAAAGUUAUUUAGAGCUUCUAAGCAAUAUUUUGUUGGUUAUAGCUUCUUUUGGGAGAAAAUGGGUAUAAGUGUUCUCUAAACACUCCUAAUCAAUCUCUAACUCUUAUAAUUAGUCAAAUGCAUUGGAUUGUGACACAUGUUGACUAUAGAAACUCUAACAAAUUUAUUGA
rnacentral:sRNA from 1 species